UAAACUCCGAAUAAUCCAAAAUGUGUUUUUAUACAUUAAUGAUUUCCUAUAACUCAUGUUAAAUUGAGCGUAUUCACUGGAGGAGUAUUAGAGGCGAGGCAACAGUAAACGCCACAAAAGCACACUUGACAUUGACAUGACACUGUCUUUGUACAAGUGUAUCGGAUUAGCCCAGCAUCGCGUAUUAGUGGCUUUUUGUUGGCUCAAUAACUGAGCAAGUUGCUGUCACCGUCCGUGUGGUAUAUAAGACGCGCUUGGAAGCGUAUCUGAAGAAUUACGCAGGGAACGUAAAAUCUUCAAACAGCCAUGUUACUUAGAUUAAGUGUACUAACUGUUGUGCUCUUGAUGCAGCUACUCUUCCUUAAUGCACAAUCCCCUGAACCCGAGAGUAAGAGGCCAGCCUGCAAGCCGAACGAAGCAUUCAUGGUAUGCGGCAACAAGUGUAUGGAUAUAACUUGUAUGACAAAUAAAUCCGAGCGUUUCUUCGUGGAGAAUUUUUUUACCAAUUUACAUGAAGAAUUGCUGCUCUUGAUCAGCUGUCUUACAUACUAUUCUUUCGAUGGAUAGACAAAAACUGUAUUGUGUGUGGAGUUGGUGAAACUCACAACACUAUGGCAAGCUAACCUCUCUCGCGUGUACACGUACUGUAUCUUGAAUACCUUCCGGCUUUGUUCAGGUGUCUAGCUAUUUUUUCAUUUAGCAUGUAAUACACGCCAGCUAUCAAUAGCGAUAAGGGAAGCAUUUUAUGCUUUAACUCUUCUGGUAUAUAAGAGACAGAUCAAAUCGGGGGUUUGAAAUCUUCAUUUGGAGAAGGAACUAUCCGGCAGCAGCAAUGUUACACAGGCUGAUUAUUCUAGCUGCUGUGCUUUCAAUGCAGCUGCUCCUUCUUAAUGCUCAGAGGGCUCAGAUCUGCAAGGCGAACGAAAGGUACGUUCAAUGCAGCAACAGGUGUAAAGAACCGCAGUGCAACAAACGACACUUUCUAAUGUGUCCUGAAAUAUGUCAGCCUGGUUGUUACUGCAUUA